rnacentral:lncRNA from 1 species
GUCUUAUAUAUGAGAUACAAUGUGGCCAAAACUCUUUAACCCAGUUAUAGUAUUUUGGGCGAUGACUAAGCCCAAAAGAUUAAGAGAGUUAAGUAUGUUAGGGAUAGAACAAUCCUAGGAUGGAUGACCUAUUGAAAAGUGGGGCGUCAUAUUUAGCAUAAGAACUAAUUAUCAAUUGAAAGUGUGAGAUGAAUCUUGACUGAGCUAGGGUUAUAUAACGGAAAGAGCGAAGCUUCAUACUGUUGACCGUUGUGGAUAGAGCGCAGUUUUCCCACAAGGUCGGUUAAGGCUAGCGAGAUGAGUCUCACAUCAUCAUAUACUUAUGAGUUUGAGCUUGACGAGAACGUCAAGACUUAAAGAGAAGGAGAAUGUGAAACCUACAUAGUUCUAUAUAUGAGAUGAGAUAUAAUAGGACUAAAAUUCUUGACCCGACAAUAGCAUUUUAGACGGUGCUUAGACCCAAGAGGUUAAGAGAGUUAAGCUGCUAAAGCUAGAGUAGUCCUAGGAGAGUUGACCCCCUAGGAAGUGG